GGAUCCUCAUGAGACUGAUGUCUCCCAGCUGCGCGACUGUCCGCGCUCUCGUUCCACCAGAGAACAUGGACUGCAGAGGUAAAUCAGAAGUUAGCUGUAAUUCUCAUUAACAGGUCUCUCUGAACUUGGAACUUAACUAGACUAGGUGGCCAGGCUCCUAUUUCCAUCUUCCCAGGGCCGACACAGUAGAUGGUGUGUGCCACUGGAGCCCACUUUAAUAUGGGUGCUAGGGAUAAACUCGGGUCAUCAUCCACUACAGUCAUCUACCCAUUCGAGAGCACAAGGGAGCUAUCACCAACCAGGCACAGACACUGUUUCUAGACCUUUUAUAUCUAAUAAGUCUUUAGUCUUGGCAUCCCUUGGUCAUUUAUGGAACACUAUUACUUCAAUAAUGAAAAAUAGGUAAUUUUUUUUGGCUUUGUCCAUAUUUUUUGCCUUUAUAAAAUAUAUAUAUUUACUUUUUCAUUCAGAAACAACCUCUUUACUCCAAUGAUGUUAUUUUGAAAAAAAAAAAACAUAACAAGACAUUUACAAAAAAGGUGAAAAGAAUUAAUAUUUUCUUAAAGAUUUUUCCAGUUUCUAGGCAACAGC